rnacentral:rRNA from 1 species
UACAGAGGGUGCGAGCGUUAAUCGGAAUUACUGGGCGUAAAGCGCGCGUAGGCGGCUUUUCAAGUCGAUUGUGAAAUCCCCGGGCUUAACCUGGGAACUGCAGUCGAGACUGUCUAGCUAGAGUAUGGGAGAGGGAAGUGGAAUUUCAGGUGUAGCGGUGAAAUGCGUAGAUAUCUGAAGGAACAUCAGUGGCGAAAGCGAACUUCCUGACCAAUACUGACGCUCAUGUGCGAAAGCGUGGGGAGCGAACGAGGAAUUGAU